AAGACGAGGUGCUGCAGUGGCUGUCGUCAGCUCGUGUCGUGAGAUUGGUUGGUAAGUCCCGCAACGAGCGCAACCCUUAUCUUUAGUUACCAUCAUUCAGUUGGGGACUCUAAAGACACUGCCCCGGUCAACGGGGAGGAAGUGGGGAUGACGUCAAGUCCUCAUGGCCCUUAUGUCCAGGGCUACACACGUGCUACAAUGGGCAGUACAAAGGGUAGCAAGCCUGCGAAGGUGAGCCAAUCCCAAAAGCUGUUCGUAGUUCGGAUUGGAGUCUGCAACUCGACUCCAUGAAGCUGGAAUCGCUAGUAAUCGCGGAUCAGCAUGCCGCGGUGAAUACGUUCCCGGGCCUU
rnacentral:rRNA from 1 species